rnacentral:misc_RNA from 1 species
GAUGAAGAACGCAGCGAAAUGCGAUAAUUAAUGUGAAUUGCAGAAUUCAGUGAAUCAUCGAGUCUUUGAACGCACAUUGCGCCCCCUGGUAUUCCGGGGGGCAUGCCUGUCCGAGCGUCAUUGCUGCCCUCAAGCCCGGCUUGUGUGUUGGGCCCUGCUCCCCCGGGGGCAGGCCCGAAAGGCAGUGGCGGCACCGCGUCCGAUCCUCGAGCGUAUGGGGCUUUGUCACCCGCUCUGUAGGCCCGGCCGGCGCUUGCCGACCCCCAUCAAUCUUUUUUCAGGUUGACCUCGGAUCAGGUAGGGAUACCCGCUGAACUUAAGCAUAUCAAUAAGGGAGGA